rnacentral:lncRNA from 1 species
AAAGAGGACAUCUAGAUAACUGGAUAAUAAAAAAUUGAAAGAUUAUAUAAAUAGAUCAUUGAAUAUAAUAAAUAUUUAUGGUACCCCUAAGUGAAAGGAAAGAGCAUAUAAGAAAUCAUAAGUGAAACGAGAGCCAAUUCUAGAGUUCUUUCUUUUGGGGAAGGAGUAGUAUUUUUCAGGAGGGAGCCAGGGUCUGGCAAUCUAAUGUGAAGUAUUUUUCUUUUUUCAUUCAACUAACAGUCCAAGAAUAUCAUUCCAGGAUUGGUAUGAGGUGGCCCCUCAGAGUCAGGGAUACUUUUCUCGGCUUGUCGAUCCUUGGUCCCUAAGGUUUUGACCUUGGUAAGGUUUAUGAUGGCUUGCUAGCAAGCAGGAAGGUGAAAUGGGGAAGCGAAGAUCAAACCUGUUUCCUUUAAGAGCGCAACCCACAAGUUGUGUUCACGCUCCAUUGGCCAGAACUUAGCCGCACAGUCAAGGGAGACUGAAAUAUCUAGUCUGUUACUAGAGAAAGGAGAACAAAUAUUAGGAACUGACAGCUUUCUUGCCCACGGAGCUGGAGGAUCAUUGGGACAGUUGGAGAAACAGAUCAAGCUUCCAGGAACAAUACCUUGAGGCACGCCACAGACCGGGAGGGAGUUGUUGUCUGUCACCACCACAAACUCCAGAACCACUCCACAGAUCUGUCCUGAGGAGGAAGCGGCCACCGCCACUGCCACUGACUCCAUAACCGUAUUUCACGGAUUAGAGAGGAGACUCCAUCACUACCUCUACCUCUGGCGCCAUUCAUACCAUCAAAACAUGAAUUUCCCAUGCAGACCCUAUUUUCCCGCAGGGCUGAAACCAGGCAUGAACUCUUUUCUUGGAGAAAAGUGCAACUGACGAUUUGACUGUGGAAUCCCUGGCUAGGCUGAGCCCUUGUUUUGGCGCUAUCUGCAAGGUAGGCUGACUCGUCUUUGCAAUUGUCAGUUGGAUCCAACUGGUUCAGGAACUUCCUCCAAGUAACAACUGAAAGGGAGUUUUAAAUUUGGGAUUCUCAAACUGCUGCUGCUGGUCAGGAGAGGGUAAGAGGAGGUGGAUUUACUCCGAUGCCUGAAAUAACUGAAAAGAUGGGUCUAAUAUAUGAGAAAACAGUUUUCAAGACUUCAGAAUGAGGUAAUGAAGGGCAGUGAUCCCUGAGAGAUGGCAAACAGGGUGUGUGAGCCCUGUGGUUGUCUCUGCUUACCACGUGCAGAGUUUGUGGGCCAUA